UUGUGAGGUUAAGCGACUAAGCGUACACGGUGGAUGCCCUGGCAGUCAGAGGCGAUGAAGGACGUGCUAAUCUGCGAUAAGCGUCGGUGAGGUGAUAUGAACCGUUAUAACCGGCGAUUUCCGAAUGGGGAAACCCAGUGUGUUUCGACACACUAUCAUUAACUGAAUCCAUAGGUUAAUGAGGCGAACCGGGGGAACUGAAACAUCUAAGUACCCCGAGGAAAAGAAAUCAACCGAGAUUCCCCCAGUAGCGGCGAGCGAACGGGGAGGAGCCCAGAGCCUGAAUCAGUGUGUGUGUUAGUGGAAGCGUCUGGAAAGGCGCGCGAUACAGGGUGACAGCCCCGUACACAAAAAUGCACAUACUGUGAGCUCGAUGAGUAGGGCGGGACACGUGGUAUCCUGUCUGAAUAUGGGGGGACCAUCCUCCAAGGCUAAAUACUCCUGACUGACCGAUAGUGAACCAGUACCGUGAGGGAAAGGCGAAAAGAACCCCGGCGAGGGGAGUGAAAAAGAACCUGAAACCGUGUACGUACAAGCAGUGGGAGCCUCUUAAUGGGGUGACUGCGUACCUUUUGUAUAAUGGGUCAGCGACUUAUAUUCUGUAGCAAGGUUAACCGAAUAGGGGAGCCGAAGGGAAACCGAGUCUUAACUGGGCGUUAAGUUGCAGGGUAUAGACCCGAAACCCGGUGAUCUAGCCAUGGGCAGGUUGAAGGUUGGGUAACACUAACUGGAGGACCGAACCGACUAAUGUUGAAAAAUUAGCGGAUGACUUGUGGCUGGGGGUGAAAGGCCAAUCAAACCGGGAGAUAGCUGGUUCUCCCCGAAAGCUAUUUAGGUAGCGCCUCGUGAAUUCAUCUCCGGGGGUAGAGCACUGUUUCGGCAAGGGGGUCAUCCCGACUUACCAACCCGAUGCAAACUGCGAAUACCGGAGAAUGUUAUCACGGGAGACACACGGCGGGUGCUAACGUCCGUCGUGAAGAGGGAAACAACCCAGACCGCCAGCUAAGGUCCCAAAGUCAUGGUUAAGUGGGAAACGAUGUGGGAAGGCCCAGACAGCCAGGAUGUUGGCUUAGAAGCAGCCAUCAUUUAAAGAAAGCGUAAUAGCUCACUGGUCGAGUCGGCCUGCGCGGAAGAUGUAACGGGGCUAAACCAUGCACCGAAGCUGCGGCAGCGACACUAUGUGUUGUUGGGUAGGGGAGCGUUCUGUAAGCCUGUGAAGGUGGCCUGUGAGGGUUGCUGGAGGUAUCAGAAGUGCGAAUGCUGACAUAAGUAACGAUAAAGCGGGUGAAAAGCCCGCUCGCCGGAAGACCAAGGGUUCCUGUCCAACGUUAAUCGGGGCAGGGUGAGUCGACCCCUAAGGCGAGGCCGAAAGGCGUAGUCGAUGGGAAACAGGUUAAUAUUCCUGUACUUGGUGUUACUGCGAAGGGGGGACGGAGAAGGCUAUGUUGGCCGGGCGACGGUUGUCCCGGUUUAAGCGUGUAGGCUGGUUUUCCAGGCAAAUCCGGAAAACCAAGGCUGAGGCGUGAUGACGAGGCACUACGGUGCUGAAGCGACAAAUGCCCUGCUUCCAGGAAAAGCCUCUAAGCAUCAGGUAACAUCAAAUCGUACCCCAAACCGACACAGGUGGUCAGGUAGAGAAUACCAAGGCGCUUGAGAGAACUCGGGUGAAGGAACUAGGCAAAAUGGUGCCGUAACUUCGGGAGAAGGCACGCUGAUAUGUAGGUGAAGCGACUUGCUCGUGGAGCUGAAAUCAGUCGAAGAUACCAGCUGGCUGCAACUGUUUAUUAAAAACACAGCACUGUGCAAACACGAAAGUGGACGUAUACGGUGUGACGCCUGCCCGGUGCCGGAAGGUUAAUUGAUGGGGUUAGCGGCAACGCGAAGCUCUUGAUCGAAGCCCCGGUAAACGGCGGCCGUAACUAUAACGGUCCUAAGGUAGCGAAAUUCCUUGUCGGGUAAGUUCCGACCUGCACGAAUGGCGUAAUGAUGGCCAGGCUGUCUCCACCCGAGACUCAGUGAAAUUGAACUCGCUGUGAAGAUGCAGUGUACCCGCGGCAAGACGGAAAGACCCCGUGAACCUUUACUAUAGCUUGACACUGAACAUUGAGCCUUGAUGUGUAGGAUAGGUGGGAGGCUUUGAAGUGUGGACGCCAGUCUGCAUGGAGCCGACCUUGAAAUACCACCCUUUAAUGUUUGAUGUUCUAACGUUGGCCCCUAAUCGGGGUUGCGGACAGUGUCUGGUGGGUAGUUUGACUGGGGCGGUCUCCUCCUAAAGAGUAACGGAGGAGCACGAAGGUUGGCUAAUCCUGGUCGGACAUCAGGAGGUUAGUGCAAUGGCAUAAGCCAGCUUGACUGCGAGCGUGACGGCGCGAGCAGGUGCGAAAGCAGGUCAUAGUGAUCCGGUGGUUCUGAAUGGAAGGGCCAUCGCUCAACGGAUAAAAGGUACUCCGGGGAUAACAGGCUGAUACCGCCCAAGAGUUCAUAUCGACGGCGGUGUUUGGCACCUCGAUGUCGGCUCAUCACAUCCUGGGGCUGAAGUAGGUCCCAAGGGUAUGGCUGUUCGCCAUUUAAAGUGGUACGCGAGCUGGGUUUAGAACGUCGUGAGACAGUUCGGUCCCUAUCUGCCGUGGGCGCUGGAGAACUGAGGGGGGCUGCUCCUAGUACGAGAGGACCGGAGUGGACGCAUCACUGGUGUUCGGGUUGUCAUGCCAAUGGCACUGCCCGGUAGCUAAAUGCGGAAGAGAUAAGUGCUGAAAGCAUCUAAGCACGAAACUUGCCCCGAGAUGAGUUCUCCCUGAGACUUAGAGUCUCCUGAAGGAACGUUGAAGACGACGACGUUGAUAGGCCGGGUGUGUAAGCGCAGCGAUGCGUUGAGCUAACCGGUACUAAUGAACCGUGAGGCUUAACCUUACAACGCCGAAG
rnacentral:rRNA from 1 species